rnacentral:rRNA from 1 species
CCGGCGCACGGGUGAGUAACACGUAUGCAAUCCACCUGUAACAGGGGGAUAACCCGGAGAAAUCCGGACUAAUACCCCAUAAUAUGGGCGCUCCGCAUGGAGAGCCCAUUAAAGAGAGCAAUUUUGGUUACAGACGAGCAUGCGCUCCAUUAGCCAGUUGGCGGGGUAACGGCCCACCAAACCGACGAUGGAUAGGGGUUCUGAGAGGAAGGUCCCCCACAUUGGUACUGAGACACGGACCAA